rnacentral:misc_RNA from 1 species
UCACCCCUCAAGCCCUCGGCUUGGUGUUGGACGGUUUGGUGGAGGCCCCCUCGGGGGUUCCUGCCCCUCCCAAAGACAAUGACGGCGGCCUCGUUGGACCCCCGGUACACUGAGUUCUUCACGGGACACGUAUCGGACACAUGGGUUUACGGGACACGGUCUGCCUCCCCUCAGGGAGAAUCUUUCUAA